rnacentral:rRNA from 1 species
CACGUAGGUGGCAAGCGUUGUCCGGAUUUACUGGGCGUAAAGAGCGCGCAGGCGGUCGUUCAAGUCGCGUGUGAAAGCCCCCGGCUCAACUGGGGAGGGUCACGCGAUACUGAUCGACUCGAAGGCAGGAGAGGGUAGUGGAAUUCCCGGUGUAGUGGUGAAAUGCGUAGAUAUCGGGAGGAACACCAGUGGCGAAGGAGACUACCUGGCCUGUUCUUGACGCUGAGGCGCGAAAGCUAGGGGAGCAAACGGG